GACGAACGCUGGCGGCGCGCCUAACACAUGCAAGUCGAACGGAGCUGAGAGGAGCUUGCUUUUCUUAGCUUAGUGGCGAACGGGUGAGUAACGCGUGAGUAACCUGCCCUGGAGUGGGGGACAACAGUUGGAAACGACUGCUAAUACCGCAUAAGCCCACGGUGCCGCAUGGCACUGCGGGAAAAGGAUUUAUUCGCUUCAGGAUGGACUCGCGUCCAAUUAGCUAGUUGGUGAGGUAACGGCCCACCAAGGCGACGAUUGGUAGCCGGACUGAGAGGUUGAACGGCCACAUUGGGACUGAGACACGGCCCAGACUCCUACGGGAGGCAGCAGUGGGGGAUAUUGCACAAUGGGGGAAACCCUGAUGCAGCGACGCCGCGUGGAGGAAGAAGGUUUUCGGAUUGUAAACUCCUGUCGUUAGGGACGAUAAUGACGGUACCUAACAAGAAAGCACCGGCUAACUACGUGCCAGCCGCCGCCGUAA
rnacentral:rRNA from 1 species